rnacentral:misc_RNA from 1 species
CCCCGACUCUUUGUGCGGCCGACUACCGGCGCCGUGUCCUGUCGUUCGUGUGGCUUAUGUUACUGUUGCCUUGAAGUGCUUGCGUGCUGGUACCCGACCUACGGGAAGUGGUGCUUCAUACACGAUUGCCUCGCGGUGGACGCCUCCGGGUGUGCUGCUGNGGCCAAAUGGCGCUUGUGGCGUUGCCUCGUGGUACCGGCACGUUUUCGUGCAUGGUGCUAUCAGGGCAACCUCGCUCCCGCUGUUGGUUUCGGAUGUCGCUCACGAUAAAAGCUCAUGGCCCUUUUGGUUGCCUAGAACUGACCCUAAAUAUGCCUUCCUCGUUGAGAACGACGGUGUUCCUCAACUCGUAGGUGGAUAUUGGCCCGCUCAAUUGCGACNACUGGCNCGACGGUUGCCUCUGCCUUUCCACGGAAGUGGACGGGCGAACAACUGUCGUCG